UCAGACCACCUGAAGGAUGUAAUUGAAUUUCCCAGCAUGUGGUAGCCAAAGUUGUAAUUACUUUCAGGACCUAUGAGCACUGGAGCCUCCAUCUGUGGUGAGAGGCUGCUCACCAGCUGUGGCUAAUGAUGAGGAGCCUCUGUAAGGGCCUUUUGGAUGUGCUGCCCAGAAUGAAGUUGGUCCUGCUUGUUGUUCCUUGUAGUCUUCAGAUGGCUGAUGGUGUUGUGGAGCUGUAUCUGCUGUAGGUGCUGAGAAGGAUAGAAGCAGUUUUUGUGGACUGAGCUUUGUAGGUCUCUGCUAAAAAUUACUGUGAAGGAGCGGGAAUGUCUACAAAAGAUUGUACUAGUGAGAACAUGAAUACAGUUGUUCUGUCCCUGUGAGGGUUACAGUCCCUAUUGCUGCUGCUGCUGCUGCUGCCAGGAGCUCUUUCUGCUUAUUAUUCCUUCGAGUCCUGCUUUCCUGGACACCAGCUGUCACAGAGGAAGUCUCCAGCUUUUUCGUCCCCUGCUUCCCUGGCUGGCUGAAGUUGCAGCAGCAUGGUCUGGAGCGUCUCCUUCACCACCUGGAUCUCCCUCUGCAGAGACUGUGCAAGCUUUAUUAAGGAAUAAUUCUAUAGGUGAUUGGCAGCUCCUUUUCUCUUUCCAAGUUAUUUAAUAAAUGGUUGUUCUGCUCACACCAGAUGGCCAUGGCUAUCUAAUUGUAGCUUCAAGUUCUUCCAAAUUAUUUAGAUUAAAUAUUAAUACAUUUA